GGUGGCUCAGUGGUAGAGUGCUUGCCUUGCAAGCAUAAGGCCCUGGGUUCGAUUCCUCAGCACCA
rnacentral:tRNA from 1 species